rnacentral:sRNA from 1 species
GCCAAGAGGAUGGCAGCCUGCACAGGGCAA